AACGUAGGAGGCGAACGUUAUCCGGAUUUACUGGGCGUAAAGCGCAUGCAGGCGGUUUCUUUAGUCGGAUGUGAAAGCUCCUGGCUCAACUGGGAGAGGUCAUUCGAAACUGAGAAACUUGAGGAUGGUAGAGGAGAGUGGAAUUCCCGGUGUAGUGGUGAAAUGCGUAGAGAUCGGGAGGAACACCAGUGGCGAAGGCGGCUCUCUGGGCCAUUCCUGACGCUAAGAUGCGAAAGCUAGGGGAGAGAACGGG
rnacentral:rRNA from 1 species